rnacentral:misc_RNA from 1 species
GUAGGUGAACCUGCGGAAGGAUCAUUACAAAUGAACCCGGGAAACCGGUCCUUCUACCCUUGAUUAUCAUAAUUUGUUGCUUUGGCGGGCCGCGCAAGCACUGGCUUCGGCUGGUUAGCGCCCGCCAGAGGACCCCAACUCUGUAAUAAAUGUCGUCUGAGUACUAUAUAAUAGUUAAAACUUUCAACAACGGAUCUCUUGGUUCUG